rnacentral:piRNA from 1 species
UACUAGAGACUCCUCAGUCAGCUUGUAUGC